rnacentral:misc_RNA from 1 species
GAUGAAGAACGUAGCAAAAUGCGAUACUUGGUGUGAAUUGCAGAAUCCCGUGAACCAUCGAGUUUUUGAACGCAAGUUGCGCCCGAAGCCUUUUGGUCGAGGGCACGUCUGCCUGGGCGUCACGCAUCACGUCGCCCCCCACAAUUCUCCGUAAAGGGAACGUGUGUUUUGGGGGCGGAUAUUGGUCUCCCGUGCUCAUGGCGUGGUUGGCCGAAAUAGGAGUCCUUUCGAUGGACGCACGAACUAGUGGUGGUCGUAAAAACCCUCGUCUUUUGUUUCGUGCUGUUGCUCGCAAGGUAAACUCUUUAAAAACCCCAACGUGUCGUCUCUUGACGACGCUUCGACCGCGACCCCAGGUCAGGCGGGACUACCCGCUGAGUUUAAGCAUAUCAAUAAGCGGAGGA